rnacentral:lncRNA from 10 species
ACAUAGGGAGGGAGAAAGGAGGCUCCAGGAAGAAUCGGAAUGAGAACUGAUGAGGACCUGAACUGCAGCAGGAGGAGAGAGAGUGGCGAGGACGUCUCACGUGUGAGGACGUCUCACGUGCUGUCAUGUCAUUUAUUGGCACCACCUUCAACACAACUACUCAAGCCCAGUUGCUGAGCAUCAUCUGGAAUCCUUUCACCUUCCCAUGCACAAUCCUUGAGAUCCGGAGAUGCUACCUCCAAAAGGCAACCAAAAAAUCUAACGACGACUCACUAUCUUCCCAUCUACUGUCCAGUUGUGUAUAUAUGCGUCUAUGGACCAGGUAGUGUGUCAAAGGUAUUUCUUAGCUGUAGGGUUGCAGCAAAAAAGUUUGGAAGCUAUUCAUUGCCCAUUAGGCAAUUAAAGAGUAAAGAUGUGGCCCCUGCCUACAUCUUUAAUCUCAUCUUCUGUCAUCUCCCCCUCUUUGCUCCUUUAGUCCCUGGAAAGUGGUAAGCUCUUUCCUGCCUUGGGGCCUUAGUAUUUGCUGUUAACUCUACCUGGAACAUUCUCCUUAUCUUUCCCAUGGCUGAUUCACUGCCAUCCUUCAAGUCUCAGUUUAAUGUCAUAUCCUCAGAGAGGCCCCCCAUCCAUAUUAUGUAAACCAUGUCUUCUUCCCAUCACUACACGCUAUGGUCUGAAAGUUUGCAUCUCCCCAAAAUUCAUAUAUUGAAACCUAAUCCCCAAUGCAAUAGGAUUAAGAGGCGGGACCUUUAGGAAAUAAUUAGGUCUUGAGGGUAAAGCCCUCAUGAAUGGGAUUAGUGCUUUUAUAUAAUAAAAGAGGCCUGAAGAAGCUUAUUAGCCCCUUCUGCCAUGUGAAGACUCAUAGAAAGUGCCAUCUAUGAGGAAGCAGGCCCUCACCAGACAUCAAUGCUGCUGCCUUGAUCUUGGGCUUCCCAGCCUCCAGAACUGUGAACAAUGAAUUUCUGUUGUUUAUAAGUUACCUAUCUAAGGUAUUUUGUUAUAACAGUCCAAAUGGACUAAGCCCUAAAGGACUUUUUCUAAUGAAUAGCUACAGGUUGAUUUACGAUCAGUUUUUUUAUGAGACUGUAAGCCUUCUGAGGUCAGUAAUGGUGUGUGUAUGUGACUGUACCCUGCAUCUGCAUCCUACUUUUACCUAACAAAAAGAGCCUCACAGAAAGCUUUGGCAAUUAAUGACAGCCUGUAGAGUUCUGUAUUCAUAGAAGCAGUAGGGGUACAUGCUGCAGUGGGUAGAAUUGUGUUCCCCAAAAAGAGAUGCUCAAGCCCUAACCCUGGUAUCUACGAAUGUGAUCUUAUUUGGAAAUAGGGUCUUUGCAGAUAUAAUUAGUUAAGAUCAGGUCAUACUAGAGUAGGAUGGGCCCUUAAUCCAAUAUGACUGGUGUCAUUAUAAGAAGAGGAAGAGAUACACAAGGGCACACACCAGGAGAAUGUCAUGUGACAAUGGAAGCAGAGAUUGGAGAGCUGUGUCUAUAAGCCAAGUAACAUCAAGGAUUGCUGGCAACACCAAAAGCUAAGAGAAAGGCGUGGAACGGACUCCCACCUUGAGCCUUCAGAGACAGCGUGGACCUACUGACACCUUGACUUCAGACUUCUAGCCAGAACUUUGAGAGAAUAAAUUUCUGUUUUUUAAGA